AGAGUUUGAUCCUGGCUCAGGAUGAACGCUAGCGACAGGCUUAACACAUGCAAGUCGAGGGGCAGCACGAUUGAAGCUUGCUUUAAUUGGUGGCGACCGGCGCACGGGUGAGUAACGCGUAUGCAACCUACCCAUCAGAGGGGGAUAACCCGGCGAAAGUCGGACUAAUACCGCAUAAAACAGGGGUUCCGCAUGGGGAUAUUUGUUAAAGGAUUUAUUGCUGAUGGAUGGGCAUGCGUUCCAUUAGAUAGUUGGUGAGGUAACGGCUCACCAAGUCUGCGAUGGAUAGGGGUUCUGAGAGGAAGGUCCCCCACACUGGUACUGAGACACGGACCAGACUCCUACGGGAGGCAGCAGUGAGGAAUAUUGGUCAAUGGGCGAGAGCCUGAACCAGCCAAGUCGCGUGCAGGAUGACUGCCCUAUGGGUUGUAAACUUCUUUUAUUGGGGAAUAAUGGGUAGGACGUGUCCUGCAAGAGAAUGUACCCUAUGAAUAAGCAUCGGCUAACUCCGUGCCAGCAGCCGCGGUAAUACGGAGGAUGCGAGCGUUAUCCGGAUUUAUUGGGUUUAAAGGGUGCGUAGGUGGCCUUUUAAGUCAGCGGUGAAAGUUUGUCGCUUAACGAUAAAAUUGCCGUUGAAACUGUUAGUCUUGAGUGUGUUUGAGGUAGGCGGAAUGCGUGGUGUAGCGGUGAAAUGCAUAGAUAUCACGCAGAACUCCGAUUGCGAAGGCAGCUUACUAAGCUAUAACUGACACUGAAGCACGAAAGCGUGGGUAUCAAACAGGAUUAGAUACCCUGGUAGUCCACGCUGUAAACGAUGAUUACUAGGGGUUUGCGAUAUACUGUAAGUUCUACAGCGAAAGCGUUAAGUUAUCCACCUGGGGAGUACGCCGGCAACGGUGAAACUCAAAGGAAUUGACGGGGGCCCGCACAAGCGGAGGAACAUGUGGUUUAAUUCGAUGAUACGCGAGGAACCUUACCCGGGUUUGAACGCAUUUUGACCGACCGGGAAACCGGUUUUCUAGCAAUAGCAAUUUGCGAGGUGCUGCAUGGUUGUCGUCAGCUCGUGCCGUGAGGUGUCGGCUUAAGUGCCAUAACGAGCGCAACCCUUAUCAUUAGUUACCAGCAGUUAGAUGGGGACUCUAAUGAGACUGCCAGCGUAAGCUGUGAGGAAGGUGGGGAUGACGUCAAAUCAGCACGGCCCUUACAUCCGGGGCGACACACGUGUUACAAUGGGUAGGACAGAGAGCUGCCAACUGGCGACAGUGAGCUAAUCUAUAAACCUAUUCUCAGUUCGGAUUGGAGUCUGCAACUCGACUCCAUGAAGCUGGAUUCGCUAGUAAUCGCGCAUCAGCCAUGGCGCGGUGAAUACGUUCCCGGGCCUUGUACACACCGCCCGUCAAGCCAUGGGAGCUGGGGGUACCUAAAGUCCGUAACCGCAAGGAUCGGCCUAGGGUAAAACUAGUGACUGGGGCUAAGUCGUAACAAGGUAGCCGUACCGGAAGGUGCGGCUG
rnacentral:rRNA from 1 species